AAAACAUCGCCUCCUGCAACAUAACCAAAUAUAAGAGGUCCAGCCUGCCCAGUGACUACAAGUUCAACGGCCGCGGUAUUUUGACCGUGCAAAGGUAGCGCAAUCACUUGCCUUUUAAAUAAAGACCUGUAUGAAUGGCUAAACGAGGGCUUAACUGUCUCCCUUUUCAAGUCAGUGAAAUUGAUUUAUCCGUGCAGAAGCGGAUAUAAUUAUACAAGACGAGAAGACCCUUUGGAGCUUAAGGCGUAAAAUCAACCAUGUUAAGCAACUCAAUAAAAAGCAACUUACUAAACCUUAUGAUAAAUGAUAUAACUGCCUUCGGUUGGGGCGACCACGGAGGAAAAAAAAGCCUCCAAGUGGAAAGGGAUAAAAUCCUAAAACCAAGAGACACACCUCUAAGCCACAGAACAUCUGACCAAAAAUGAUCCGGUCAACCAUGACCGAUCAACGAACCAAGUUACCCUAGGGAUAACAGCGCAAUCCUCUCCAAGAGUCCAUAUCGAAGAGGGGGUUUACGACCUCGAUGUUGGAUCAGGACAUCCUAAUGGUGCAGCCGCUAUUAAGGGUUCGUUUGUUCAACGAUUAAAGUCCUACGUGA
rnacentral:rRNA from 1 species